rnacentral:tRNA from 1 species
GUCACUAUGGCCGAGUGGUUAAGGCGACAGAUUCGAAAUCUGUUCCUCUUUGAGGGCACAGGUUCAAAUCCUGUUGGUGACG